rnacentral:rRNA from 2 species
UUAAAUUGAAGAGUUUGAUCAUGGCUCAGAUUGAACGCUGGCGGCAGGCCUAACACAUGCAAGUCGAACGGUAACAGGAAGCAGCUUGCUGCUUCGCUGACGAGUGGCGGACGGGUGAGUAAUGUCUGGGAAACUGCCUGAUGGAGGGGGAUAACUACUGGAAACGGUGGCUAAUACCGCAUAACGUCGCAAGACCAAAGAGGGGGACCUUCGGGCCUCUUGCCAUCAGAUGUGCCCAGAUGGGAUUAGCUUGUUGGUGAGGUAACGGCUCACCAAGGCGACGAUCCCUAGCUGGUCUGAGAGGAUGACCAGCCACACUGGAACUGAGACACGGUCCAGACUCCUACGGGAGGCAGCAGUGGGGAAUAUUGCACAAUGGGCGCAAGCCUGAUGCAGCCAUGCCGCGUGUAUGAAGAAGGCCUUCGGGUUGUAAAGUACUUUCAGCGGGGAGGAAGGUGUUGUGGUUAAUAACCACAGCAAUUGACGUUACCCGCAGAAGAAGCACCGGCUAACUCCGUGCCAGCAGCCGCGGUAAUACGGAGGGUGCAAGCGUUAAUCGGAAUUACUGGGCGUAAAGCGCACGCAGGCGGUCUGUCAAGUCGGAUGUGAAAUCCCCGGGCUCAACCUGGGAACUGCAUUCGAAACUGGCAGGCUUGAGUCUUGUAGAGGGGGGUAGAAUUCCAGGUGUAGCGGUGAAAUGCGUAGAGAUCUGGAGGAAUACCGGUGGCGAAGGCGGCCCCCUGGACAAAGACUGACGCUCAGGUGCGAAAGCGUGGGGAGCAAACAGGAUUAGAUACCCUGGUAGUCCACGCCGUAAACGAUGUCUACUUGGAGGUUGUGCCCUUGAGGCGUGGCUUCCGGAGCUAACGCGUUAAGUAGACCGCCUGGGGAGUACGGCCGCAAGGUUAAAACUCAAAUGAAUUGACGGGGGCCCGCACAAGCGGUGGAGCAUGUGGUUUAAUUCGAUGCAACGCGAAGAACCUUACCUGGUCUUGACAUCCACGGAAGUUUUCAGAGAUGAGAAUGUGCCUUCGGGAACCGUGAGACAGGUGCUGCAUGGCUGUCGUCAGCUCGUGUUGUGAAAUGUUGGGUUAAGUCCCGCAACGAGCGCAACCCUUAUCCUUUGUUGCCAGCGAUUAGGUCGGGAACUCAAAGGAGACUGCCAGUGAUAAACUGGAGGAAGGUGGGGAUGACGUCAAGUCAUCAUGGCCCUUACGACCAGGGCUACACACGUGCUACAAUGGCGCAUACAAAGAGAAGCGACCUCGCGAGAGCAAGCGGACCUCAUAAAGUGCGUCGUAGUCCGGAUUGGAGUCUGCAACUCGACUCCAUGAAGUCGGAAUCGCUAGUAAUCGUGGAUCAGAAUGCCACGGUGAAUACGUUCCCGGGCCUUGUACACACCGCCCGUCACACCAUGGGAGUGGGUUGCAAAAGAAGUAGGUAGCUUAACCUUCGGGAGGGCGCUUACCACUUUGUGAUUCAUGACUGGGGUGAAGUCGUAACAAGGUAACCGUAGGGGAACCUGCGGUUGGAUCACCUCCUUACCUGAAAGAAGC